rnacentral:tmRNA from 2 species
GGGGCUGAUUAGGAUUCGACAGGAUCUAGGACGCUGGAGGUGCAUGCAGAGGUGCGGAUUGCCUCUUAAAAAAUCCGCUUUAAAUAGUCGCAAACGACGAAAACUACGCACUAGCCGCUUAAUAACCGGUAUAGGCCCUUCCACCACAGCUUUGUUUGCUAGCGUGGAUUCGGAAGGUCAUAUAAGCAAACUAGCGAGGGAAACUCUCCUGAGGUUGAACCGCGAAAUAGUAUCAGGACCGCUACCAAGAACCCUGUUUGUCGGGGUCUGAAGUAGUUAAACAAAAGACAAACUAAGCAUGUAGUACCAAAAGUAGACAUUUUCUGGACGCGGGUUCAAAUCCCGCCAGCUCCACCA